rnacentral:rRNA from 1 species
AGCGGAGGAAAAGAACUAACAAAGGAUUCCCCUAGUAACUGCGAGUGAAGCGGGAAAAGCUCAAAUUUAAAAUCUGGCGGUCUUUUGGCUGUCCGAGUUGUAAUCUAGAGAAGUGUUAUCCGCGCUGGACCGUGUACAAGUCUCCUGGAAUGGAGCAUCAUAGAGGGUGAGAAUCCCGUCUUUGACAUGGACUGCCAGGGCUUUGUGAUGCGCUCUCGAAGAGUCGAGUUGUUUGGGAAUGCAGCUCAAAAUGGGUGGUAAAUUCCAUCUAAAGCUAAAUAUUGGCGAGAGACCGAUAGCGAACAAGUACCGUGAGGGAAAGAUGAAAAGAACUUUGGAAAGAGAGUUAAACAGUACGUGAAAUUGCUGAAAGGGAAACGCUUGAAGUCAGUCGCGUCAUCCAGGGAUCAACCUUGCUUUUGCUUGGUGCACUUCCUGGUUUGAUGGGUCAGCAUCAAUUUUGACCGUUGGAAAAAGGCUGAGGGAAUGUGGCAUCUUUGGAUGUGUUAUAGCCCUCUGUCACAUACAAUGGUUGGGAUUGAGGAACUCAGCACGCCGCAAGGCCGGGUUUUAAACCACGUACGUGCUUAGGAUGCUGGCAAUAUGGCUUUAAUCGACCCGUCUUGAAACACGGACCAAGGAGUCUAACAUGCCUGCGAGUGUUUGGGUGGAAAACCCGAGCGCGUAAUGAAAGUGAAAAGUUGAGAUCCCUGUCGUGGGGAGCAUCGACGCCCGGACCAGACCUUUUGUGACGGUUCCGCGGUAGAGCAUGUAUGUUGGGACCCGAAAGAUGGUGAACUAUGCCUGAAUAGGGUGAAUCCAGAGGAAACUCUGGUGGAGGCUCGUAGCGAUUCUGACGUGCAAAUCGAUCGUCAAAUUUGGGUAUAGGGGCGAAAGACUAAUCGAAUCAUCUAGUAGCUGG